AGUGAACGCUGGCGGCAGGCCUAACACAUGCAAGUCGAACGGCAGCACAGUAAGAGCUUGCUCUUACGGGUGGCGAGUGGCGGACGGGUGAGGAAUACAUCGGAAUCUACUUUUUCGUGGGGGAUAACGUAGGGAAAUUUACGCUAAUACCGCAUACGACCUACGGGUGAAAGCAGGGGAUCUUCGGACCUUGCGCGAUUGAAUGAGCCGAUGUCGGAUUAGCUAGUUGGCGGGGUAAAGGCCCACCAAGGCGACGAUCCGUAUCUGGUCUGAGAGGAUGGUGAGCCACACUGGAACUGAGAAACGGUCCAGACUCCUACGGGAGGCAGCAGUGGGGAAUAUUGGACAAUGGGCGCAAGCCUGAUCCAGCCAUACCGCGUGGGUGAAGAAGGACUUCGGGUUGUAAAGCCCUUUUGUUGGGAAAGAAAAGCAGCAGGUUAAUACCCCGCUGUUCUGACGGUACCGAAAGAAUAAGCACCGGCUAACUUCGUG
rnacentral:rRNA from 1 species